GGCGCAAGGGUGAGUAACGCGUGGGUAAUUCGCCUUCGAGAUCGGGAUAACAUUUCGAAAGAGAUGCUAAUACCGGCUAAGACUACAGAGGCUUUGGCCUCAGCAGUAAAAGAUGGCUUCUUAUUAGGAAGCUAUCACUCGAAGAGAAGCCCGCGUUCUAUUAGCUAGUUGGUAGGGUAAUGGCUUACCAAGGCGAAGAUGGAUAGCUGGUCUAAGAGGAUGGUCAGCCACACUGGGACUGAGACACUGCCCAGACUUCUACGGGAGGCUGCAGUCGAGAAUCUUUCGCAAUGGGGGAAACCCUGACGAAGCGACGCCGCGUGAGUGAUGAAGGCCUUCGGGUUGUAAAGCUCUGUCACUUGGGAGGAAGAUCCUUGACACCAAUAAUGUCAAGGGUUGACAGUACCAAGAGAGGAAGCCCCGGCUAACUCCGUGCCAGCAGCCGCGGUAAUACGGAGGGGGCGAGCGUUGUUCGGAUUUAUUGGGUGUAAAGGGUGUGUAGGCGGUCUUGUAAGUCAG
rnacentral:rRNA from 1 species